CAGCGGCCACUGUGGUCGACGUGUUGGCCCCGGUGGUGGUGGCUGCUGACCCGGUGGUGACAAAGUCGGCUCCCGUCGUUGCUGGGCAGGGUCGUUCCUUGGAAGGUCGCAACUGCACUAAGCCCCACAAGAGAAAGGCCCGGAAGCUCCCUAGCGCUAGGGCGCAAACGCGCGCGGUGAGCAAGACAAGCAAAUGAAAGACAGCGUGGAGACGGCGUCCUCCCUGGUGGUGCAGUGUGUUCCGUAGUCGUUUGCGCAGGCAGCAGCCUU
rnacentral:lncRNA from 1 species